GAGGGUAUAGCUCAGUGGUAGAGCAGGGGCUUAGCAUGCACGAGAUCCUGGGUUCAAUCCCCAGUCCCUCU
rnacentral:tRNA from 1 species